CACACACACACACACACACACACAAACAUUAUAGCACUCUGCUAUCUUCUUGGCCCCAUUUCACGCUUGCCAUUCUUCAUGUGUUUCACAGCUGACUUAAUAUCUGUUCAGUGCAAUGAGUUUGACACUCCGUAUCAUUACCUACUCUCGCCUGCCACUCAACUAGAGGAAGAACUCAGAUUGAGUGGAUCCCAAGUAGAGAGAGUACUCAAGGACACACAGAGAGCAGCUGACGGACACUACGGCUGUUGGCACGGAUGAGAUAAAGUCACUUUACGGUGACUGUUGUGUCUAUCAAAGCAGUGUAAUGUCAAUGGAGAGAGCGAGGGCACCACCCUGGGCCUCUCUCUGCUCUGUAAUGACGUAGUGUUUGCUGAUAACACUCCAUUCAGAAGCACUGAGCCCUGCUUGUGCCGCUAGCUUACUGUAGAGCAUAAUGGCUAAUGCGGAGUGAGAGAGAGAGAGAGAGAAAGAGGGAGGAAGGGGACAAAGACACAGCUGAUGCCACAUUGGUGUCAUCGUGCUAUAAUUGACGUCACCUCCCGGUUCAUACAAACUCCCUGCAAGUCAAAAAGCGUGCAGGAUUGUGCUGCAAUGACAGACAAGAAAGACAGACACAAGAAAAACAAGCACAACUACAGACAAGUUGCUUUUGCAGUAACUUUUGGUGAAUAAGUUGACACAUUUCUGCUCAUGCAAGGUCAUGCUUUAAAGACAAAACAUUA